AUCUCUGGGGUGAGGGUUGAAGGAUAAGGAGGGGUUUUCUAGAGGCAGAGAGAAAAGGACAGCUCGUUUAAAGGAAUAAAGCAGUGAAAGAACAUGGCCCACCAUAGAGUAGGGACAAGUACUUCACUAAGCCUGGUGCAGACUGAGCAUGUGGUGAAGACUUAGGAAAUAAAGCCAGAAGUGGCCCAGAAGCCAUGCUAGAAUAAUGUAGCAGCUUGUGCCUAGAAAUAGCUGACUGCUAUGGUGGAGUUGAGAGCUGCUGAGGACCAACCAAAGGCAAUAGCGACAUGAAUGACACUGAGGAGACAGUCACAGAAACGAGGAUCUGGUGACUAGUCAGAUGCAGGGGGUGAAGGAGAGGAAGAAACCAAGAAUGACUUGCAGCUAGGCCUAACACCGCAUUCUUUUCUACCCCAGAUACUGAGGACCAGUGAUGGUGGGUAGUGUUCUGACUGAUAAGACGUGUAAAGAAAAGAGAAAUGGCCUCUGUCCAGGCAGCUCUGCACCACAAGACUCCAGAGGGAGUGGUUCCCAUUGUGAUCUAUGUAGUCUGUGCUCCCUGUGAACUGCAUAUUCUAGCAGGGAAUACAGAUACAUUCCUGGUGGUGUAUGGCUGGAUGGCAAUGAACAGGCAUGACCUUCACAGAAGCUGUUCCUUCAGCCUGAGUCCCCAGAUGGGCAGAAACAGAGCCAGAGCCUGGAAAAGAGCUUUCACUAAGCACAGCAGACUAGUACAAUAGUGGCUCCAAAAGACAGAAGAUGCCUGAGUCAUUGCUUAGACAACAGCAGCCUAGAGACUCAUCCAACCAGAUGCCUCAUGUUGGACUGCCGCAUGAAUAAGAAAUCAAAUGUUAUUGCGCUAAGCCACUGAAAUGCUGGACUCACUUGUUACUGUAAUAAGCUUACUCUGAUUAAUAUACUUUCCCUGUAAAGU